rnacentral:rRNA from 1 species
GUUGUUUGGGAAUGCUGCUCAAAAUGGGAGGUAAACCCCUUCUAAAGCUAAAUACCGGCCAGAGACCGAUAGCGCACAAGUAGAGUGAUCGAAAGAUGAAAAGCACUUUGAAAAGAGAGUUAAAAAGCACGUGAAAUUGUUGAAAGGGAAGCGCUUGCGACCAGACUUGCGCCCGUCGGAUCAGCCGUCGCUUGCGGCGGUGCACUCCGGCGGGCUCAGGCCAGCAUCGGUUCGCCUGGGGGGAGAAAGGCGGUGGGAAUGUGGCUCUUCGGAUGUUAUAGCCCGCCGCGUAAUACCCUCGGGCGGACCGAGGACCGCGCGUAUGCAAGGAUGCUGGCGUAAUGGUCGUCAGCG